GACGAACGCUGGCGGCGUGCUUAACACAUGCAAGUCGAGCGGGAUCCAACCGGUGGCAACACCGGGGAAGAUCUAGCGGCGAACGGGUGAGUAACACGUGAGCAACCUGCCCCGAAGACUGGGAUAACACCGGGAAACCGGUGCUAAUACCGGAUGUCGUCAUUAGGCCGCAUGACCUGAUGAUGAAAGGAUUCAUCGCUUCGGGAGGGGCUCGCGGGCUAUCAGCUUGUGGUGGGGUAACGGCCUACCAAGGCGACGACGGCUAGCUGGUCUGAGAGGACGACCAGCCACACUGGGACUGAGACACGGCCCAGACUCCUACGGGAGGCAGCAGUGGGGAAUCUUGCGCAAUGGGCGAAAGCCUGACGCAGCAACGCCGCGUGGGGGAUGAAUGCCUUCGGGUUGUAAA
rnacentral:rRNA from 1 species